rnacentral:rRNA from 1 species
CGAACGGGUGAGUAAUGCGUGACCAACCUGCCCCAUGCUCCAGAAUAGCUCUUGGAAACGGGUGGUAAUGCUGGAUGCUCCAACUUGACGCAUGUCUUGUUGGAAAGUGUUUAGUGGCAUGGGAUGGGGUCGCGUCCUAUCAGCUUGUAGGCGGGGUAAUGGCCCACCUAGGCUUCGACGGGUAGCCGGCCUGAGAGGGCGGACGGCCACAUUGGGACUGAGAUACGGCCCAGACUCCUACGGGAGGCAGCAGCG